rnacentral:rRNA from 1 species
AGAGUUUGAUCAUGGCUCAGAUUGAACGCUGGCGGCAUGCCUUACACAUGCAAGUCGAACGGCAGCACGGGAGCAAUCCUGGUGGCGAGUGGCGAACGGGUGAGUAAUACAUCGGAACGUGUCCUGUAGUGGGGGAUAGCCCGGCGAAAGCCGGAUUAAUACCGCAUACGCUCUACGGAGGAAAGGGGGGGAUCUUCGGACCUCCCGCUACAGGGGCGGCCGAUGGCAGAUUAGCUAGUUGGUGGGGUAAAGGCCUACCAAGGCGACGAUCUGUAGCUGGUCUGAGAGGACGACCAGCCACACUGGGACUGAGACACGGCCCAGACUCCUACGGGAGGCAGCAGUGGGGAAUUUUGGACAAUGGGGGAAACCCUGAUCCAGCAAUGCCGCGUGUGUGAAGAAGGCCUUCGGGUUGUAAAGCACUUUUGUCCGGAAAGAAAACCUCCGAGUUAAUACCUUGGGGGGAUGACGGUACCGGAAGAAUAAGCACCGGCUAACUACGUGCCAGCAGCCGCGGUAAUACGUAGGGUGCAAGCGUUAAUCGGAAUUACUGGGCGUAAAGCGUGCGCAGGCGGUCCGCUAAGACAGAUGUGAAAUCCCCGGGCUUAACCUGGGAACUGCAUUUGUGACUGGCGGGCUAGAGUAUGGCAGAGGGGGGGUAGAAUUCCACGUGUAGCAGUGAAAUGCGUAGAGAUGUGGAGGAAUACCGAUGGCGAAGGCAGCCCCCUGGGCCAAUACUGACGCUCAUGCACGAAAGCGUGGGGAGCAAACAGGAUUAGAUACCCUAGUAGUCC